AAGGGGAUGACAGAUUGGAUAUGUAGCUAACUUGAAAUUAGUAUAAGGGGGUUCAAUUCCUUCUUUCCUUG
rnacentral:tRNA from 1 species